rnacentral:misc_RNA from 1 species
GAUGAAGAACGCAGCGAAAUGCGAUAAGUAAUGUGAAUUGCAGAAUUCAGUGAAUCAUCGAAUCUUUGAACGCACAUUGCGCCCGCCAGUAUUCUGGCGGGCAUGCCUGUUCGAGCGUCAUUUCAACCAUCAAGCCCCAGGCUUGUGUUGGGGACCUGCGGCUGCCGCAGGCCCUGAAAACCAGUGGCGGGCUCGCUGUCACACCGGGCGUAGUAGAUUUUAUCUCGCUCAGGGCGUGCUGCGGGUCCCGGCCGUUAAAAGCCUUUUUUUACCCAAGGUUGACCUCGGAUCAGGUAGGAAGACCCGCUGAACUUAAGCAUAUCAAAAGCGGAGGA